AACGCUGGGUUAUUUUAAUAACCCAAUUGCUGGGUUAAGGCUGUUGGGUUAUAGGUUGGGUAGAUUUGACCCAACGUUGGGUCAAAGAUUGUGACCCAACACGAUGGGUUAAAUGAAAGCGAGGCUCGUUCUUCCGCCAUUUCUGGACAGAAGGCGCCAGGACGUCAACGACCAUAGCUGCCGGUUUAAAGUCCCAGCCCCAAACCGGCUGCCUUCAGAGCAACGCAGAGCUUCUUUGGAACAAGGAGCAACAUUUAAUAUCCGUAUGAGAUCCUUAAGACAGCUGAUGGGAAAUGCAUGGUUAGUGGUCCUGAGGAACAGAAUCACAUAAAUAAUGAAAGACGUGUCAUGGUCCGGAUACUUGUGUCCCACUAGUUGUGCACUUUGGAGAGAAUCCAUCUUCAGGUACAAAGGCUAUGCUGGCAUCAUCAAUUGUGGAUCAGUUUCCAUGCCUGAAGGACUGUCAAGGCACAGGCUACGACGACGCAUGGUUCACCCCAGGGAGAGGGCAUAAACCCACAACAGGCUUUCUGGAAGAGCAUCUCCGUAAUUUCUGAAAAAGACUCCACUCUGGCAGACGAGUACAUUUAACAUCACAAGUGCCACAAGACACCCGAGUCAUUUUACCAGAACCAACUAGAACUCCAGAGCGGUUCAUCCAGUUGACGGAGUGACUGAAGAACAACAUCUGGCCACAGUCCCAGGUUGGCCAACACAUGCUGGAGACUGCCAUCCAUAGGGCCCAGUGGAUCCCAUCACUGGGACUACAUCAAUGCUAGACAUUAUCACAGAGUUUCCAUGCUUAGUGGACACUCCAGGCAUGGUGAACUAGAAUCUUACAAAAUAAAAUGUUGUGUUGUGGUGCUGGGAUUGUUUUUCGAUGUCAACUUUGUGCUAAAUUUUGGGAGUUCAUCUAGACUACCGUCUUUCAGAUACCAGGACUUGAAUCAAACACUGUCAAAUUAAUGAGAGCUCAGAUUGCUAGUUGAUAGUUCAAUGCAUGAAGUUUGAGAAAUUGUGACUAUUUUGUCCGUUUAAUGAUGUAAUAAAUAGAGAUGCACCGAUUUCAACUUACUAGGCUGUUUCAAAUUUCCAAGUUUUCAUUGAGUUUGAUCUGCCGAUAUCGAUUUUAGCCGAUUCCAAUUUCAUAUUUUCUAACGACUUUCCAGCA